rnacentral:misc_RNA from 1 species
UGGUUCUGGCAUCGAUGAAGAACGCAGCGAAAUGCGAUACGUAAUGUGAAUUGCAGAAUUCAGUGAAUCAUCGAAUCUUUGAACGCACAUUGCGCCCAUUAGUAUUCUAGUGGGCAUGCCUGUUCGAGCGUCAUUUCAACCCUUAAGCCUCGCUUAGUGUUGGGAAUCUACUGAUCGGGUGGCCCUACCCUGUAGCGGCCUACCCUGUAGUUCCUGAAAAUCAGCGGCGGGAUUGUGGUAUCCUCUGAGCGUAGUAAGCUAAUUAUCUCGCUUUUGUUAGGUGCUGCAGCCCCUGCCGUUAAACCCCCAAACUUUUUAAUGGUUGACCUCGGAUCAGGUAGGAAUACCCGCUGA